rnacentral:rRNA from 1 species
AUUGAACGCUGGCGGCAGGCUUAACACAUGCAAGUCGAGCGGGGGAAGGUAGCUUGCUACCGGACCUAGCGGCGGACGGGUGAGUAAUGCUUAGGAAUCUGCCUAUUAGUGGGGGACAACAUCUCGAAAGGGAUGCUAAUACCGCAUACGUCCUACGGGCGAAAGCAGGGGAUCUUCGGACCUUGCGCUAAUAGAUGAGCCUAAGUCGGAUUAGCUAGUAAGUGGGGUAAAGGCCUACCAAGGCGACGAUCUGUAGCGGGUCUGAGAGGAUGAUCCGCCACACUGGGACUGAGACACGGCCCAGACUCCUACGGGAGGCAGCAGUGGGGAAUAUUGGACAAUGGGGGGAACCCUGAUCCAGCCAUGCCGCGUGUGUGAAGAAGGCCUUAUGGUUGUAAAGCACUUUAAGCGAGGAGGAGGCUACUUUAGUUAAUACCUAGAGAUAGUGGACGUUGCUCGCAGAAUAAGCACCGGCUAACUCUGUGCCAGCCGCCGCAGUAA